GACGAACGCUGGUGGCGUGCCUAAUACAUGCAAGUAGAACGCUGAAGAGAGGAGCUUGCUCUUCUUGGAUGAGUUGCGAACGGGUGAGUAACGCGUAGGUAACCUGCCUUGUAGCGGGGGAUAACUAUUGGAAACGAUAGCUAAUACCGCAUAACAAUGGAUGACACAUGUCAUUUAUUUGAAAGGGGCAAUUGUUCCACUACAAGAUGGACCUGCGUUGUAUUAGCUAGUAGGUGAGGUAAUGGCUCACCUAGGCGACGAUACAUAGCCGACCUGAGAGGGUGAUCGGCCACACUGGGACUGAGACACGGCCCAGACUCCUACGGGAGGCAGCAGUAGGGAAUCUUCGGCAAUGGGGGCAACCCUGACCGAGCAACGCCGCGUGAGUGAAGAAGGUUUUCGGAUCGUAAAGCUCUGUUGUAAGUCAAGAACGGGGGUGAGAGUGGAAAGUUCACACUGUGACGGUAGCUUACCAGAAAGGGACGGCUAACUACGUG
rnacentral:rRNA from 1 species